AACGAACGCUGGCGGCGUGGAUAAGACAUGCAAGUCGAGCGAGAUUUUUUCUUGUAGCAAUACGAGGAAAAGUCUAGCGGCGAACGGGUGCUUAACACGUGGGCAACCUGCCAAGAAGUGGGGGAUAGCUCGCCGAAAGGCGAACUAAUACCGCAUAUGAUCAGAGUGGACAUCCAUUCAAAAUUAAAGUCGGGGCAACCUGACGCUUCUUGAGGGGCCCGCGGCCUAUCAGCUAGUUGGUGAGGUAACGGCCCACCAAGGCUUUGACGGGUAGCUGGUCUGAGAGGACGACCAGCCACACUGGGACUGAGACACGGCCCAGACACCUACGGGUGGCAGCAGUCGAGAAUUUUUCUCAAUGGGGGAAACCCUGAAGGAGCGACGCCGCGUGGAGGAUGAAGGUCUUCGGAUUGUAAACUCCUGUCAUUGGGGAACAAUGCGUAAAUAUUAACUGUAUUUGCGUUGAUAGUACCCGAAGAGGAAGAGACGGCUAACUCUGUGCCAGCCGCCGCCGUAA
rnacentral:rRNA from 1 species